rnacentral:lncRNA from 1 species
CGGGGGCUCUGCAUCCUUCAAAAUGAGUGGGAGAGAUAUUUAUAGGAGAUAGAUUGGAGAGAAGGAUAGUGGAUUCCAAUUCCCUAAAAUUUGACAUUGACUGUGCAUGUCUAAUUUGCGUUGACAGGACACAGCAGUGGUUGGGCCUUGUCAACAUCUUGUCUUCCUGCCAUGGAGAUGUUAAGCUUCUCAGUGCGAUGUCAGUCAUCAUAACGUGAACAGUAUCCAAAAAGAGAUAUCUACAGAUAGAGGGCCAACCUCGGCCGUACAUACGUGAUGACGAGCUAAGGUGACUGAAGCUGGUGGAGGCUCGGCCCUAGAAUUGGAUGAGCCGAGCCGAGAUGGCCGCUCUUACUUAGCAUCGAAAUUAUAUGGUUUGCUCAGAGCUUCUAGGUUCAACUCGGGGUACAUCUUGCGAACUUGAUCUAUGGCUGAGGUAAAGCUGAACAAGUAGACCGGCUAAGCCAUGUCAAUCAAGUCCUGAAGGAAGUUAUUAGGCUUGGUAUACAAACUGGUAGCCUCUAGGAUGGCAAGGUAGAGCUCGGACUAGUGCGCCUCAUCUUGCUUUUGCAGUCGCUUGUUCAUGGUCCUUAAAUUCUUGCCAUAUAAACCUUGGUUUCAGGUUUCAACUACCCAAGCUUGAUCCAAAAGCUUGGGACGUUUCUCUAAUAUAUUUCACAUGGUAAGGGGUCUAUUUAAUAUGCUAGUACAAGUUGAUUAUGUGGAAUUGCGGAUACUCUAUUUUGUAUUUUAGCAGUAAUUUUCACGUGUCCAAUUGUGUAGGCAAAAAGGCAGCAGGAAACAGGUACGACAAAAAAAGAAAGUUGGGCAUAAAUUCAAGUUCAUCUUUCAAUAGCACAUGGGAUUGUAACAUAAAUGUGGAAAUGUUACCUUCCAAUCUAAUAAGAAAAGUAGGGUUCAUCUUUUGCGAAACUCUGAUAGUAAGUAGGGUGGCAAUAGGG